UCCGGUUUGUCACCGGCAGUCCCCCAUGAGUCCCCGGCGUUACCCGCUGGCAACAUGGAACGAGGGUUGCGCUCGUUGCGGGACUUAACCCAACAUCUCACGACACGAGCUGACGACAGCCAUGCACCACCUGUCACCUGCCCCGAAGGACCCCACAUCUCUGCGAGUUUUCAAGUGAUGUCAAACCCAGGUAAGGUUCUUCGCGUUGCAUCGAAUUAAUCCGCAUGCUCCGCCGCUUGUGCGGGCCCCCGUCAAUUCCUUUGAGUUCUAGCCUUGCGGCCGUACUCCCCAGGCGGGGCGCUUAAUGCGUUAGCUUCGGCACGACGGGAUUCAAUCCCCGUCACACCAAGUAUCCAUCGUUUAGGGCUAGGACUAC
rnacentral:misc_RNA from 1 species